UCGUACGGUAACAUUGAUGCUUGCAUCAGAUGACGAGUGGCGCACGGGUGAGUAACGCGUAUACAAUCUACCUUUUACAGGGGGAUAGCCUUUAGAAAUGAAGAUUAAUAUCCCAUAGUAAGUAGUUUUGGCAUCAAGACAACUUUAAAGUUUCGGCGGUAAAAGAUGAGUAUGCGUUCUAUUAGUUAGUUGGUAAGGUAACGGCUUACCAAGACCACGAUAGAUAGGGGCCCUGAGAGGGGGAUCCCCCACACUGGUACUGAGACACGGACCAGACUCCUACGGGAGGCAGCAGUGAGGAAUAUUGGACAAUGGGCGCGAGCCUGAUCCAGCCAUGCCGCGUGCAGGAAGACUGCCCUAUGGGUUGUAAACUGCUUUUAUACAGGAAGAAACCUUUUCACGUGUGAAAAGCUGACGGUACUGUAAGAAUAAGGAUCGGCUAACUCCGUGCCAGCAGCCGCGGUAAUACGGAGGAUCCAAGCGUUAUCCGGAAUCAUUGGGUUUAAAGGGUCCGUAGGUGGAUAAUUAAGUCAGGGGUGAAAGUUUGCAGCUCAACUGUAAAAUUGCCUUUGAUACUGGUUAUCUUGAAUUAUUGUGAAGUGGUUAGAAUA
rnacentral:rRNA from 2 species